GGCGCAGUUCUCUUCUUCGGCCCCUCGUGGAAGCAGCGGCCUUCGCGGGCCUCUGUCCAGCCAGCAGACCAGGCCCCCUUGGCGCCAUCCUCAGAUGCAAGUCUGCGCCUCAUCUGUUCCUGCCCAAAAGCCUGUUCAAGCCUUGAAGAGCUGUCCUCGAUGCUGCUGGCGGAGCCUGAGGGAGACCCACAGUCCCCAGGGUCAGGCCUGAAUCAGAGAGGCUGCCGCCCGAGACGGCCGCGGCAGUUCCCUUGCACUUGUGGACAUUGGUAGGCGUGGUCUUCUUCUUCGGCAGCUUCCGGAAGACUACCCUUCGGGACUUGGUUGCUGUUCCAGAGGAGCAGAAGGGCUUGUUCUUUGACCGCACACAAGGACUAGAAAGCAGAAGCUUAGAGAAACUCCAAGAAUCCCUCUGUGCUCUGUUGCAGCCUGUCCAAGGUUCUGACACCUCAUGCGUCGUGGAGUUCUUUGUUGGAACAUGUGCUGAGCACUGGCGCUAAGCCUUCGAACAAGGAGGUGAGCAGCCAAGAGCAACACCUGCAGGAAGGGCCGGGCUGCCGGUGUCGGAGGAGUGGCAGUAGAUUCAACAGGACCCUCAGGUUUGUCCCUCCUCGCCUGGUAUUCCACUGUUAGAUGAUUGACUACAGAAUGGAAGGAAACAGAAGACAGAAGCCUUUAUCUGAACCUUUCUUUGCUUAAAGAAUCCAUCAGGGAUGCUGAUUCUCAGGAGCCUGGCACCUCAAAGGAUGCAAGUGCUUCAAAUGGACCUGUCCGAAGACUACUGGUGCACGGUCCGAUAAAGUUAAGAACGGGUGAUAAGAAAACAAAGCGUCAGGCUUUUUUGUACAAGGAUG